rnacentral:lncRNA from 1 species
GUUGAGAGGAGCGCACCGGAGAAAGAACACACGAGCUGCGGGACAGUGAGAGGAACACACUGGUAGAAGAGCACACAGGCAGCUGGAUGUCGAGAGGAGCGGAAGAGCACAGCGACAGGCACUGGUGUCGACCAGCGGAACGACGUGGAGUUUGGCCUGGGAGGUCAGAGAAGAAUUUGGCUGCUGGGCAGCCCCACUAUAGGGGAAAACCACCUUCCCACUCCAUUCCCCUUCUGAUCUCCCCAUCCACCUCGCUGAGAGCUACCACAACUCAAUAAAAAACCUAGCACUCGAUCUCCAAGCCCACAUGUGAUCCAAUUUUUCCCGUGCACUAAAGCAAGAACCUGGGAUACAGAAAGCCGUCUGUCCUUGUGAUAAGGCAGAGGGUCUAAUUGAGCUGAUUAACACAAGCCACCUGCGGACAGCUAAGCUGAAAAAGCAUCCUGUAACACACGCCCACUGGGGCCUCAGGAGGUGUAAACAUUCACCCCGAGAGGCUGCAUGGGUCCGCGCCCAUGGUCCCCAUGACUUGCCUGUUUGCCUGCUCUGGCUAAGGGUCUUGACCAGUGGGGCACUGAAGAAGCGAGCCACACCUCCAUCGUACGCCCUGCGAGGAGGGGUCUCACUCAGUGACCCAGGCUGAAUGCAGUGGAACAAUCAUGGCUUACUGUAGCCUUGACCUUGAGGGCUUAAGCAAUCCUGCCACCUCAGCCUGCCUAGUACUGGGACUACAGGUACGCGCCACCACGCCCAGGCUGGAGUGCAAUGACAUGAUCUCGGCUCACUGCAACCUCUGCCUCCUGGAUUUAAGCAAUUCUGCUGCCUCAGCCUCCCGAGUAGCUGGGAUUACAGGUAUGCACCACCAUGCCCGGCUAAUUUUGUAUUUUUAGUAGAAACGGGGUUUCACCAUGUUGGUCAGGCUGUUCUUGAGCUCGUGAUCUCAGGUGAUCCAUCUGCCUCUGCCUCCCAAAGUGCUGGGAUUACAGGUGUGAGUCACCGUGCCCAGCCGAUCAUUUUGUUUAAGUUUAGAAUUGUUAGAGGUGAUGUACCUAGGUCAACAAUCGAUGUGUAAACUAUGCCAUCAACACUAUACAGGCUUCAGAAUGGAGACUAUACUAGGCAUAAGGAAGUGGUCUAUUUGGAUGGCUAUACGUAUCAGCUGGACAGAGAGAACUAUACAGCCAAGAAAGAAAGGUGGCCAACUAAAGAGAAUACCUAUGGGGGCCAGAAACCCUUCAGAUUACAACUUAGCUUUAGUCAGAAAUGUUACCUCAAUCCAGCCCAAGAGUUCUUAUAAAAUGACCAUGUAUUUCUGUUGUAGGGAUAGGAAUAGGUUACCUACUGUGUGGUAGCUUAUAUUAGUGUUCAAAAAAUAAUCACUCUUCUCCCUACGUACUUCUUCAUAGGCAAAGUGUAGUGCUCACCCUCACUGAUAGUGAGUUUUGUUUUGUGCUUUGGUUUGGCCAAUGGUAUGUGGGCAGAAGAGACAGCAUAUACCAGUUAUGAGCCCAGGUAUUACAUAUUUGUUUUACUUACUUGCUUGUUGUUCCCAACUUCUGCAAUGAGUAGAUGUCCAAAGUAGCUUUUAUUCCUUAAGUUUAGGCCCAUAAGAAAAUACAUGAAGCUGACUCACAGCCUGAAACAAAGGUGAAUUGAACCACAGCCAGAAGCAGAGCUUCUCCAGCCAAUCUGUGUAAUUGUUUAUGCCACUGAGAUUUUAUAUAUGUUUGUAGUUGUUGUUACACAGCAAUAGUUAACCUAUAUACCCAGAGACAAUGACCUUAAUGUAUUUUUCUCAUGUUUGAUCAAAGACUAAGAAGAUGGUGUGAGAUGUUCAAGAAAUAGUAUAAAUGUAGCACACCUUCUACACUGCACUGCUGUUGACUGAUAUUUUCUAAUGCCAUGAUUAGAACUUCUUGCAUAUUGGAGGCAUUCAGUCUGUUACCUAUACCUCGUUUUAUGUUAUUGAUAUUAUAAUGAUUUCUUCAAUAGUACGUUCUCAGCCCAGGAUCUAAACUUAGGAAAUUGUCGUGGAUUUUUCAAGGGUCAAGUUGAAAAGAAGAGAUUCUAGAGAAGAGAUUACCAUUCUUUCUGAAUAUAAGAGGGAUCCUUUGACUGAAAAUUCUUUAAAGAAAGAGAGCCAAAAGUUUCCCUACCAGCAAGAGGAGAGAAUAAAUAAUUUAGUAAUUUCCAUGAAAUAACAUGUUAGCCUUAACUCCUAGGCCUUGAUAUACUUGAGAGAGUCAAAUACAUACCUAAGGCACAGUCUUAACAAGGCCUAUGCAGGCCCAAGUAUGACAGUUUAAGUAAGUCAUGAUAUCCUCUUGGUUAGAACCUUUAAUGGCCUCCAAUUGUGUUAAAAGAGAAGAAAAAGGGAGCCCCUUUACUUGGCUAUCAAAGCCCUGCAACACCUGGCCCCUGCCAGCUUUUCGUACUUUAUCACUAAGCAACCAUUUCCUCCAGUUCUCAUUAUGCUUCAACCUAAUUGUCUUUAUUUGUAUUCCUCAAAAAUUAACAAGCUUUUUCUCACCUCCAGGAUGUCAUCCUUAUUGUUCUGUUUGUCUCAACUGAUCUUCCCCCAGAGCUCUUCAUAUGACUGGCUGAUUCUUAUUCUUUAAACCCAGUUCAAAUAUCAUCUUCUAAGAGAUGCCUUCCUUGCUAUACCAUCUAAUGAGACCUUCUCCAAUUUCAUCCUGCAUUUAAAAAAAAAUUUAUUUAUUUGUAUUUGAUUAGUUUUGAGAGAGGGUCUCAUCCUUUUGCCCAGGCUGGAAGGUAUGUAGCUCACUGCAGCCUUAACCUCCUGAGCUCAAGUCAUACUCACACCUCCCAGAGUGCUCAAGUCACGCUCAGCCUCCCAGAGUGCUGAGAUUACAGGCAUGAGCCUCAGACCUAGCCUACACCCAACCUCUUACCUUGUCCAUUCCCUACUAGUAUAUAAUAAAAUAGGCAAUUACUUUGUUUAUUUUUAAAUGUGCUUACUGCCUGUCUCCCUUAUUAAAAUAUAAUGUAAGAAGAAUGAUAUGUCUUAUUUAUUGAUAAUUGAUAGAUGGAUAUCAUAAGAUGGCAUACUUCAACUUAAAAUUAAGAAAUUAAGAAGAUGUUUAUUUCAUUGGGGCUCUCCUACAUCCAUGAAUUCCUCAUUGAUACACAUGUUAAAUUAUAGUCGAUGAUUUAUAUAUUCACUGAGAGCAAGAAUCACACUUUCAGCAUAUUAGCAGUCCAUGUAACAAGUCACCUCAAAAUUUAGUGUCUGAGAACAACGAACAUUUAUUAUGUCUGGGUUGCUGUGGGUCAGAAAUCUCGAGGCAGCUUGGGUCGCUCUGACUCUCAGUCUGUCAUUUGUAACCAAGCUUUCAGACGGAUGGUUAGUUUUCUUAGGACUGGGUUGGCAUUGAAUGAUUCACUUCGAAGCUCACUCACGUGAUUGUUGUCAGUCUUCAGUUCUUCAAGGGCUCCUGGACCUCUUCACAGGGCUACAUGAAGCUCUCCGUAGGGCUCUUCACACAUGGCAAUUUGUUUUUCCCAGUCUGAGAAAUGGGGCACAGAAUGUGACAGGGGACUCUGACAGUGAGAACAGUCCUUGCCUUUUUUUUUUAUUCCACAGGUUCAGAUAUACCACAGGUUAAAUUAUGUCUAAAACAUAUUUGUAAUGCACAGUGAAAUCACACCUAUGGUUGAUUACAGAGAGAGAGAGAGAGAGAGACUUUCUGUAUCCUAAUCUCAGAACUGACAUUCUUUCACAUUUGCCAAAUUAGAAGCUAGUACUUGCAUUCCCUUGAAUGUUAAAGGGAAUGAUAUUACAAAAGGCAUCAAGAUCAGGAGGCUAGGAUCAUCUUAGAAGCUGCCUUCCACAAUCAAGAGUAUUCUGGUGUUGGUUAGCAGCUUAUCCUGGAUUAACUCUAAAUUUCAUUCAGUGCUAGUAUUUUUCUAUUAAAUUUGUCAUUACAAUACUUGGAACACCAAAAAGAUAUGGUGAUUAUUUGUGAGGCACAUUUUCAAUGCAACCCCUGCUCUAGUAGAGUCAAUUGAAUGCAGGAAGACUGAAGAAUCCAAAUAUGCCAGUCACUUUCAGUUAUAUAUUCAUUCACUGAACAAAUGCUGGCUAUGUAUCUACCAUGCCAGGAACAUGUUAAAUUAUGCAAAUAUACUGAAGAAGAAAAAAGUGUCUGUCUUCAUGGAACUUAACUACAGUGGAGAAUAACCAUGUUAUAACCACAAUAAUCAAAUGUUUAACUGCAUUUAAACUUUGCUGGAUAAUGCCAAUAGAAUACUUUUUUUUUUAACUCCACAGAUUCCACUCUAAUGCAGAGUGGAAUCACAGGUAUGCUUGGUUAACUUAUAAGUAAGUGUUUAAGGCUUUCCUCAACAUUCACAUUAUAAAGAUGUUACGCUGUAUCAUUAUUUGUUGCGUUGAUAAACCAACAGCAAAACAAGCUGUGCUAGAUAACAUUGCCUUCAUAUUGGUUUGUGACUAAAUGUUGUUUGAUGGACUAUGAAUCUCAGUUCAUGGAUUAAAGGUAUGACAACAUCAAAUAGCUCUGAGGCUUACAUAAAGCAUCAUCAAAAUUCAUAGUAAACACAGCAGGAGAGACUACAGAUAUGUAGAAAUUCAUUGUCAAGAAAGUAUUGCCAUUUUGCAUGAAAUUGAUAAGGCCUAUAUAACCAGAUCAAGGUAAAGCUCUUUCCAUCUCCUUAAUAUUUUUUAAAGCUUACAAUAUGUGAGGAAGGAAAAAAAAAUCUUCAGACAUAGAAUUAUGAAUCACGGAGUUAUUCAGCAGACGGCCUAUAUAGUUUGUUGACUUAUAACAUAUAACUUUGUAAAUUUCAGAGUAUGUUAUUUCUUAUCAUCAUUGCUUGGGCCGUCUUUUUUCCUGGCCAAUUUUCCAGGAGUAUUCCCAGAAGAAUAGAAUGAAACUAGCCUGCUUGAACUUUUUCUGUGAUGUGUUUGACAGAAAACAACUUUUGUCUUUCAAAGGAAGGUAAACAAUUGCUGAGGGAUUGAACCUGUUUCCAGGCUCAUUACUACGCAUAUUAAGGACUGAAAGAAUGACCGAGGAAAUCUUUCAAUUGCUUGUAUUUUGAAUACAAGUUGCCUUCAUUUUUUAAAAAGUUUAAUGACUUGGGAUUUCAUUUCCACCAAAUAAUGAAGCCGGUGCAGGACUGCAAAUUGUGUCUUGGAUGUUGCCAUGCACUGCUGCACUUGAUAGAUAAUUUAUUCAGAGUCCUGGAAGAAAGCUUUUUAAAAAUAACUGACAUUGAGGAUGCCAAUAAACAUUGAUGCCAUGCGCGUGCCAGCUGUGAAAUCAUUAGUAGGUGAAACACCCUACCGUGCAAACAGCUUCAAACUGAUUUGAGGGAUGUAUUUUAGCCAAAGGCAUAAAUGAAUUCAUGAAUUUGCCCUACUUACUGUUCUCUGUCUCAGUUCUGUCUUUUAAAAUUUUUAUUUAUUUAUUUCUUGUAUUCAUUUAGGUUGGUGGAUAUAGCAUCUGAAUAGGCAGAGUGCUCUAUUUUUUUCUUGAUGAAAAGGGAAUUGCUAUUACAGUCUGUUAUCCAAAAAUUACCAUAACAAAUCUGCCCUUCCAAUUAGCUGGUGCAUGGAAAGAUUAGUUGAAAUUUGGCCUGGAACUUUUUAUUAAGACUAAAUAGGAAACCAUGUGUAUAUAUUGGUAUUAGUUUGUGUUAUGAGACACAUAGACACACAUAUUUUAUUUCUGCUAUAAACAAUUACGAGAAAUAAUUAGGUUGCUCUAUAUAUCCACAGAGAACAAAAAUAGGACCUAUGGAUACAGACUAAAAUAACUCAUUUUGAAUAAUGGAGAAUUUUCUAAUGAUAUAGCUGGCUGAAGAGAGGGUUUUGUUCUCUUUUUUUGUUUGUUUGCUUUCCCAUAGCUAGUAAGUUUCCUGUCCCUGAAAUAAAUAGAUGCUGGAUACCUACUUGGUAGCAAUGGUGUACUGAUAAUGUAGGCUUCAAAUAGCAGGAAUAUUCUGCCAGAAGAAUUCAAAGAUAUUUUUCAACCUUUUGGUUUCUAUCAUUUUUCUGCAUAGAAAAUUUCUCCAGGCUAAUUCUAGCUUUAUAAUAUGAGGAGAGGUAAACUGAAAUAUGAGAGAGAAAAGUGCAACAUAGAAUUUCCGACACUGUAAUUGGGAAUAUUUAGUUUCCUCUUUUUAAAUUAAAAGUCCUUUGGAACAAAAAACACUGGAAAAGCCGCUAUGAAUUUGGGCCUUUUGGUUGAUUUUUGCAAUAAUCAUUCAACAUCAUCUUUAUUUUUACUUAAUUAUGAUAUCUCUUCCUUCUCUUCUUUUGCAUGUCUUUUCAAAAGUAUCCAAGUAAGCAAAUAAAAAUUUUAAGAUUAUUUUUGUGGAACCACAAUAUCAUCAGCUAAAUGUAACCAAUUUCACAAUUCGUAGUAUAAUUAGCAUUCUAUUAUAUUGAAUGACUUCUUAAAACAUUUCUUAACAUAUUACAUUCAUCUGAUUUAACUAACAAGUUGCAACAUGUAGAUUUGCUGAAAUUUGACCUUUUUGAGUUAAAAAUAUGCCAACUUCAUAUAUGUUAUGUUGUAGUAACAAAUAAGAUAUUACUGGUAUAAGACAGUUUUUUCCUUACACAAAGACUGACAAAGAACAUUGGGGUUUCUCUUGCAGGCUCUGCAAUUCUGUAUUCUCAAUAGCAGACCAUUAUUCUCAACAGCCAUGGAAAAGGCAAGGUGUAGAUAGUAAAGUAGCUCUUACAUUACUCAGCUUAGAAAUAGAACAUGCUAUUUCUGUUCAUAGCUUAGCCAAAACUGGUGCCAUUGUCUCAUCAAAAUUGCAAGUAAUGUCAGGAAAUGCAGGCAAGGGAGCACCACAGUUUCAGUUUUGUAGGUCUAAUAUAUGUCAUAAAUUUCAUGCUACAUACCACUGCUAUUGAUGCUUUUUUCCUGAUGGAACCCCGACUCCCUGAUAAACACAUUCAUAGGUACAUGCUAUUAUUCUCUUAGUGUUGCAGAUGGAGAAACUUGGGACAGAGAUAACCAAGGUACUAUCUUAUAAGUGAUGGAGCCAGGAUUCAACCCCAAACUGUCCAGCAAAUGGUAGUCUGCAAUCCAACAUGAAUUUAUUAAAAGCCAUGUUAUGUUGUAGAGAGGAGAGUGUAGGGAGCUGCAUGUAAAAUGACCUGGACUUAAGUCUUAGCUUUAUCACCAAUUAGUGACUCUAAAACCCAUUGAAGAAUUCUUUCUACUACUUCUCUCAUCGGUGUAACAAUUGAGGGAUAUUAGGUGAUCUUUAAUAUUUUUCAUCUUAAAAAUGCUAUAAAUUUACUGGACUAGGCUAGUAAAUUUUUUUCUCCCCCAAAUUGCACCUCCAUCCACAGAAAUUUAAAGGGGUAGCUGAUGUCCACAAACACUCUGGUAUGCAGGCUCUAAAGUUACAGUCUGUGCAAUUGAAUCCAGACUCUUACUUGCCUGUGGUAGGCAGAGUAAUGGCCCCACGAAGAUGUCCACGUCUUAAUUCCUGGAACCCGUGAAUAUGUUAUGUGGCAAAACGACUUUGUAUAUGUUAUUAAGGAUCUUGAAAUGAGGAGGAUAAGUCCAACAUAAGGACAAAGAACCUUAUAAGAGAAAGAGGGAGGUGGAAGAGUCAGAGUCAGGGAAGGAGAUGUGAUGAUGUAAUCAGUGGUAGGAGGAAUGCAGAGUCAAGAGCCAAGGGAUGGGGCAGCUUCUGGAAGCUGCAAAAGCAAGUAAAUGAAUUAUUUCCUUCAGCUUCCUCUGAUCCAUUUUGGAUUUGAAACCUCCAACAUUUUAAGAUAAGACAUUUGCAUUGUUUUAAGCCAUUAAGUUUGUGGUGACUUGUUAUAGUUUUAAUCCAAAGCUUAUUCAUUGCCUAAUAUUAUCCUACCCCAUGACUCAUUCCAGGGCUAUCUUCUCUUUUCUGUCUAUGUGCUUUCCCUUAGUGAUAACGUCAACUAUCACAACUAUCAAUGCCAUUUCUAUGAAGUUGAACACUUCUUCUAGCCCAGGAUUUUAUGUCCAGCUUUCUAGUUUAUACCUCGUCAAUGCUGAUACUCAAAUUAGAUUACACAUGGCCAAAAUACUCUUCUCCUCCCAGGACUCCUUGUCUCAGAAAAUGAAACAGCUGUCUUCUCAGUUGCUAAAGCCAGUUAUUUAAGAAUUAUUCACAAUUCUGCUUUUCCUACCAUCCGCUAUCUAACUAAAUUUGCAAGUUCUACAAUGUUAUCUCCAAAAUGUGUCCCUUCCUUUUUGUUUUACUGGGCUCAGCCCUGAUUAUUUUUUGUCUGAGCUUCCACAGUAGGCUUACUCACAGGUCUCCCUGAUUCCACCCCUGCCCCAUUCUGAUCCAUUCCACGUACAGUAUUUUGAGUGAUCUUUAUUUUUUUAAUGUUAUGCCAAAUUAUGUCACAACUAUGUUUAAAAUUAUCUAAUGGCUCCUCAUCCUUCUAAAACAAACCCCUAGCCAGUUACCCUGGUAUAUCUGGACCUUUCCUAAGUACCAAAUUAUCUAUUCUAUUUUAGUAUCAGUUUGUUCUUCAACAUCACACUAUAAACCCAUUGGUCUUCUUUAUGUUGUUCCUGGAGCCCUCUGACUCUGAAUUUAUUCCUACUUAGGGUCUUGGUAUUGCUCUUUCUCUAUUGAAAUGUCCUUUCUCCUUUUCUGAAGAUACAGCUUGUUCUUUUCAGGUAUGAUUUCUCAGCUUAUCUACUCCUCUUUUUUUGCACUUGUAUUUAUAAUCUCUGUUUAGGUUCCUUGGCUGUCUGAGGGCUACUCUCACUGGUGCCUUCGGAACACCUGAGCAAGAACUUUAAUUAGCUGCCUCUCUGUUUCUUUAGACAAACAUUUUCUCCGUUCCCAUGGUUGAGGAUACACUGGUUCUGACAGUAAUGCUGGGCUUUUUCUUUUUCCUUUUUUUUCUGUUUGAGGUUUUUUAUUAUUAUUAUUAUACUUUAGGUUCUAGGGUACAUGUGCACAUGUACAAACGUGAAGGUUUGUUACAUUUGUAUACAUGUGCCAUGUUGGUGUGCUGCACCCAUUAACUUGUCAUUUACAUUAAGUAUAUCUCCUAAUGCUACCCCUCCCCAGUGCUGGGCUUUUUCUACCAACAAACAGCUCUUCCUCUUCUUCUCUGAUUUGUACUCUGUUUUUCCAUGUGAAACAUCAUACCGAAGGUCGAACAUGUCUAGGAAUACUGCCUCCUUUAGGGAGAGGAGACACAAAUCAUGUACUUUCUAGUCUACAGUAUCCAUAUUGUCUCUCAUAGAUAUUGCAUUCUCUUGUUUUCCAUUUUUCAAAUACUAAUCAGUAUUUGGUAUUUUCUUCUUUGUAUAUUGAUUUGUCUAUCUCACUCUCACUCUGUCACAAUAUUGUAGGCUUCAGGAAGCAAGGACAUUGUCUUGUUUAAUGUUGUAUUCUCUGUGACUGACAUAGUGCUUAGCACAUUAAAUAUUUGUUAAGUAGAUAUAUAAGUUUGGUAAUUGGUGACCAGGCUUCCCAUAAAUUCAGUUGUAUCAGAAUUUUACAACCGAAGUGGGGAGGGGAUGCCCUAUUCAAUGAAUGAUGCUGGGAUAACUAGCUGUCAAUAUGUAGAAGAAUGAACCUGGACCGCUACCUUUCAAAAUAUACAAAAAUUAACUCAAAAUGGAAUAAAGAUUUAAAUAUAAGACCUUAAAUUAUAAAAAAAAAUCCUGCAAGAAAACUUAGGAAAUACUAUUCUGGACAUAAACCUUGGAAAAUAAUUUAUGACUAAGUCCUCAAAAGCAAUUGCAACAAAAACUAAAGAGCUUCUGCACAGCAAAAGAAACUAUCAACACACUCAAAAAGACACCCUACAGAAUAGGAGAAAAUAUUCACAAACUAUGCAUCUGACAAAGGUCUAAUAUCCACAGUCUAAAAGGAAUUUUAAUAAUUCAACAAGCAAAACACAAAUAACCCCAUUAAAAAGUUGGCAAAAGACAUGAACGGGCACUUCUCAAAAGAAGACAUACAAGAGGCCAACAGAUAUGAAGAAAAAAUGUUCAGCAUCACUAAUCAUCAGAGAAAUGCAAAUGAAAACUACAGUGAAAUACCAUCUCACUCUAGUCAGAACAGCUCUUAUUAAAAAGUCAAAACAUUCUAGACGCUGGCAAGGCUGUGGAGAAAAGGCAACACUUAUACACUGUUGGUGGGGAUUGAAAUUAGUUAAGCCACGGUAGAGAUCAGUUUGAAAAUUUCUCUAGGAACCUAAAAUGAAACUACCAUUCAACCCAGCAAUCCCAUUACUGCCUAUAUUCCCAAAGGAAAAUAAAUUGUUCUAACAAAAAGACGCUUGCACUUAUAUGUUCACUGCAGCACUAUGCACAAUAGCAGACACGUGGCAUUAACAGAGGUGCCCAUCAACAGUGAGUUGGAUAAAAGAAAAUAUAUAUUCACCUUUAAAUACUAGGCAGCCAUAAAAAGAAUGAAAUCACAUCUUUUGCACAAACAUGGAUGCAGUUGGAGACCACUAUCCUAAGUGAAUUAACACAGAAACAGAAAACCAAAUACUGCAUGUUCUCAUUUAUAAGCAGGAGCUAACCACUGGAAACACAUGAAUAUAAAGAUGGCAACAACAGACACUGGGGACUACUUGGAACAAGGGCUAAAAAGCUACCUAUCGAAUACUAUGCUUAUUACCCGGGUGAUAGGACCAUUCAUACCCCAAACCUCAACUUUAUGCAAUAUACCCAUGUAACAAAGCUGCGUGUGUACCCCCGAAUCUAAAAUAAAAGUUGGAAUUAUUUUUAAAAAACAGGAAAUAAGUUCAAGGGAUCUAUUGCACAGUAUGGUGACUAUAUUUAAUGAUGUUAUAUUGUAUUCCUGAAAAAUGCUAAGAGAGUGGAUAUUAAGUGUUCUCACCACAAAAAUAACUAUGUGAGAUAAUACACAUAUUAAUUAGCUAAAUUUAACCAUUCCACAAUGUAUAUAUACUUUAAAAAAUCAUGUUGUACACAAUAAAUGCAUAUAAUUUUAUAUGUCAAUUUAAAUAAUUUUUUUAAUUAAAGGAAAAGAAGAAUUGUACAACUGAAAGAGGAUAAGCAAGUUGUUUUGUUCAUGGGUACUCAACAACAGAUUGUGGGGAUAAAAGGUCCCAUGGACUUUCUCAGUAAUUAUUAGUUUUCCAGCCAAGCCUUAUAGAACUUGCAUAUAAUCUUUAGAGAGAGGGAAGCUGCCUGGAGAAAAUAAGAAAAUCUUCAUUUUAGUUUUGAGAGUGAGGGCCAAUCUGUAUAUCUGUGAAAUAUAAAGGCAAAUGUUAAUAACUUUGUGCCUAAUUUGACAUAAAAAUGGGAUUAGGCACUCUUCUUGAGUCUAAGUUAAACAAUUUGAUAAGGUGGGCACAUUAACGGUUGCUUUAUUGGUAAAUUUGGAGAAGUCAUACUUGCGGUUAAUUACAGUGUGAUUGCUGAGGAUUACACUGUGAGCAGCAAGAAAAUACAGAUGGAAGUGAACAAGACAGCCACACAACAUGGCAUAAAGAAAGAGGUCUGACCACUCAGCCAAACUGUGCUGAUGUGUUGACAUGUUUUAAAACUAUAUUUCACUCUCUGAUUUGUACUUUUGCUUUCAGUACCUUUGAAUAGAGAGAAUAAUAAUAUCUUUUCCUUGGUGCCAUUGCUCUAAUUUACAAAUGAUAUUGUGUAGGAUGAUAACUCAUAUCUUGGUAUCUCAGAUGCUUGAAUAAAUUAUUAUUCUUAUUAAUUUUCUGCCGCUGUAGGAUGCUUUUAUGCUUCUUAUGUAAAUGAUUGACUUGCAUAAUUACAUGCAUGUCUAAGCACUGCUUUUUGAGAGAUGACAUCAAUGAAUUUAAAGAUUUUAUUUUAGAUUGUCUUUCAGAAUUCUUUCAGAUGCCUUCCUGUGUAUAAUUAGCUCUGCUUGUGCUGAACAAAAGUGGGCCAAAUUUAUGCUAAGUAUCAUGACGCUAUUUUUCUUUGACAAUAUAUAGUGAUAUAAAGCAUUUAUAUGUCUGCUCUCUAGUUUUCCAUCAUAAUUUUUCCUCUUCAGAAAGUCGAUGCAUUAUUCUAUUCAUCCUUCAGUCUUUCCACCCACCUACUCACCCAUCCAUUUAUUCAGUCAAACUUUUUGGAGAACUCCCUAUGUAACAGACAUGGAGGUUUGCUCUGGUGAUUUCAAUUAGGAUGACAUGAUCUUGUCAUUGGAGAGGUCACAGGUUGUAGAUGUGAAACACACUAAUGAAUAAUUUGAAAGUGAUGUGAUAAUUGUUUUAAUUAUAUAAAAAGCACUUCACCUAGUUCCUUUCUCCUUAAUGCUUGAAGAGCUUUAUUAGAAUUAAAAAACGAGGAGCCCUUAAUGUUAGACGUUAUUUAGACAUCUAGAAGACUAAAACAUGUUAGAUAAUUUAAAGAAAAUACAGUGUUUGGCUUAUGUUUAUUAAAAUGGGUAUUAACAUUUGGGAGCAAAAAAUAGAAAUUUAUUAUCUUGCUCAGUGCUCUUGUAAGAGCUCAUAAGAUAUGCUUUACACUUUACGACCAUUAUAAUGAGAAAAAGUAAGGGAAGAUUAUUCUAAAGGAGGAAAAGAGAUUGAAGAAAUUUGAUAGUAAAAUGUAUAUUAAAAAGGAAAUGCAACUGAAUAUAGAUGAACUCUAUCAGUAACAAGAAAAUGAUAUCUUUCCAGCUUAAUUUACUUUGGCAAACACUUGCAUGUAUGCAAUGGGAAUAUAAUCUAAACACCUUAUUAGAAUAUGUAUCUCUUUGCUGCAGCUUGCUUUAUCAUAUGCAUAGAUAUAUAAUGCUCCCAGGAAUAAUUUAUGGUUAAAUGUGUUUUAUUACCUGUUACCAAGAAAACCAAAGGGAGAAAUACAUAUUCUUCAGUACUUUGAAUAUAAUUUUUUUAAAAAAAAUAAUGUUCACAUUUAGGAGACUCACUGAUAAUUUACAUUACUUUCUAUUGUAAUCACAUGUGAUGAAAACAAAUUAGGAAAUAUAAGGUAAUUUAAAAAUUUUAGUCUAUUUGCCAUACUUGUAUAAUGUCAUACUGGAAAGUAGUUAAUAAAGUACCGAUACAAAUUGAGAAAUUGUGUGAUUAUGACCCUUAGUCACAUUGAAAAUAUAGUUAAAAUUAUAUUAUGAUCUUAAAAGGACCUAAAAAUGGGGGAAAAAAAGAUAAAAACAAUUCUACCUCUUUUUAGGAGAGUUCAUUUUAAUUAAAUAACAUAAUUUUCUGUUUUAUACAAAAUUUGUAGACUUUGAUUUCUCAGUGCUUUAAAAAUGCAAUGCUUAUUUGAUGUUAAUACUCAUGUGAAAUUUAACUACGCAGAAAUAUCGAUUCACUUACCAUAAUAGAAACAGCCUUUAAUAUUAUCCUACUGUUUUUCUUUUAUUGUUUCUCCGCCAUCCAUCCCACCCAGUUCUUGUCAGAGUGAUCAGAUAUCUAUCAGUCUCUACUUACUUCUACACUUUAGUAGAGGCACUUAUCUAUGGACCAAAUUCUUUAGCACUUCUUUUUGAUGGUCAAUUUACGUGCAUUUUAAAUGCUAAUAAGCAUCUGCUUUCAGCAAUUAGAGUUACCUUAUCAUUGACAGGAGGGAAACAAAAGAAGUCCUUUGAUAGGACAUUUUGUGUAAUAUGCAUAGUUCACUGCCUGGAACCAUUUUAGUUUAUGUUGAUCUGUAAUUAGCAUUAUACAGUUUAAAUUCUGCAUACUGGAAAUAUGUUACAUAACAACAAUUAUUUAAUUUUACAAAUUGACUAAAUUAGUCAAAACAGAGUCUCUCAAGUUAUAGUCCAUACACAGUUUGGACAUUAUGGUAUUAAAAUACUUGGAUUGGUGUAUAUUUUUUUAGAUUUAUUUGAUAAUUUUUAUGUUUGAUUUGGCUUACUACUUGCAUAAGACUAGGUAUAUCUAAUUAUACUAGAUAAUCUAGCUAUACUUCGUUUCAGAUAUCUAAAUAUUUACAUUGCAUUAUUGUAAGAAUAAAGCAUCCUGGGUGUUCAUGUAAUCUAUGUAUUUCAGGUUUUGGAUUAAAAACGGUUUCAAACACUCAAAAAAUUCUUUUAUAUCAAAAACCGUGUUCUCACUUAUUUUUUAUUCUUAAAUUUUAAUCUGUUACUAUGUUUUUAACAAGAAUAAACUACCUUAAAAUCAUGCACCUUUUAGAAAUUUGGUUUCAGAAAUGGUAUUUAUUGGUAACUUUUUGGGAAAAUGCUAUUGUAAAUAUUUUGGUUUUCUCUUGAUCUAUAAAAACUACUCCCAAAACUUGAGGGUUUAAACAGUCAUUUUAUUUUUUCUCUUUUUUGGCGUCAAAAAUUUGGAGAAGGUUUGGCUGAAUGGCCUGAGAUAGAGAAAAGACAGAGAUAGAGAAAUUAGAGAGUUUAUGUGUCAUAAACUGGAGUGCCGGUUCCACAACGCUUUCUCACAUACCUAGGUGUUGGUGGUUACAGCUGGAAGGCUAGACUCAGCUGGACCUCUCUCUUUUAAUGGUCAUUUCAGGUCUCUCCAUAUUGUCUUUUACAUACUAUAUCAGGGCUCCCAGAUACUAAUGAAGAAACUGCUAGUCACUUCAAAGGCUAGCUAGAAUUGACAUUGUGUCAGUUUCGCUACAUUAUUGAACAAAGAAGUUACAUGUUGUCCAAAUUCAGAGGAGUGAAAGAAGAUUACUUUCCUCCAUGGACAGAGUGGCAAAGAAUUUGUGGCAGUCUUUUCUCUCUCUCAACAGGAAAUCUCAAAAGACUUGUCAAGUUAUAAAGUUUGGCAGAAAUUCUGUUAAAUAAAAUCAGCUGAAAUGUGUGUAAUAAAGUAUAGUUAAAAGUAAUUAUCAUACUGUAUAUUUUUUUUUGUCCAGAAACUUUAAACCCAUUUGUUAAGAUUUUGCUUCUUUUAUUUAAUGUGAACAAAAAUAUCACUGGAAAGAGUUAUCUCAUGGGUGUUUAUUAGAGAGUGCAUUCAUGUGCCUCUGGUAUUAUCCUGGCCACUUAUAAAUGCUUAUCAUUAGUCACAUCGACUGGCAAAGUAAUGAUAGCAUAUUUUGACUCUUAUGAGCUCACUAAUGCAUCUCAUAAUAUGUCAAAAUCUUAGUAGUUCCCAUAAUAAAAUUGUAGCUUCUGAAGCUCAAGGGGACCUUAAAGUUCUUUUAGUAAAAGACAACUGAUGCCUAGUUAUCUUUAAAGAAUUUAAGUAAAGAAUAAGUUUUCCUUGUUCCCCCAAAAACAUACAUAUCAAAUGUAGCACAUUUUCUCAAUUAUUAAAGACAAUGAAUUAAUUAUUGUAAAAUUAUCAAAUCUACUCAUAUUCAAGUGCAAUUAUCUGAGCUGUAUUAUACGCUAGGACUUGGAUUUGUACACUACAUACAUUAUCUCAUCUAAAUUUAUAACACUAAAAAAGAUAUGCAUUAUUUUUCCUUUUUUAGGUGACAUUUGAUAUCAUUAAGAUUAUUUAAAUGUUACUGCUGGGAAAUAAUUUUAUGUUAGAGAAAAACACCAUGGAUGAAAAUAAAUUUUAUUUGUAACAGAGAAAAAUGUAAAGAAAAAAAAAAAACAGGCAAUGCUUUGCAACUAUUUUUCUACCUUUCAUCCUGAAAGGACUUUUAAAACAAUAGCAAUAAUAAUAACACUAAAAGAAAAAAUUAAGAUUGAUUCAAUUAUUAGGGAAAAUAUACAUAGCAUUUGCUGCCAGAAAAGGAAAAUCUUAUAGACUACAAUGACCAAAAGAAUCAUAGUUUAAACACAUAUACAAACACACACACACACACACACACACACACACACACACAUACGGUUAGGCUUUGUGUCCCCACCCAAAUCUCAUUUUGAAUGGUAAUCCCCAUAAUUCCCACGUGUCAAAGGAGAGGCCAGGUGGAGGUAAUUGAAUCAUAAGGGCAGUUUUCCCUAUGCUGUUCUUGUGAUGGUGAGUGAGCUAUCAGGAGAUCUAAUAAUUUUAUAAGAGGCUCUUCCUGCAUCUCUCGGCACUUCUCCUUCAUGUCACCAUAUAAACAAAGACAUAAUUGCUUCCCCUACUGCUAUGAUUGUAAGUUUCCCGAAGCCUCCCCAGCUAUGCUGAACUGUGAGUUAAUUAAACUUCUUUAUUUUAUAAAUUACCCAGUCUAAGGCAGUUCUUUAUCGCAGUGUAAAUAUAGACUCACACACACACAUACAUACACACAGAGAGAACUUUAAGAAAACACAAUAGUGCAAAGAAUAAGAACAAGAAGAAAAAAUUAUUGAAUAUACAUGGCCAUCCCUGCCUACACCCACACUGACAUAAGACAUAAUGCUGAAACUUAGAGACUAGAUGAAACUUAUUAAACAGGGACUGCAGAUGAUGUUCCAGUAUCCAUACAAUUAGCCAGAGAGAAAAUACAUUGUGAAUUCAGCAUUAAUUGACACCAUAGCUAUUGUUUUUUCCAAUUACAGCUCAACACCUCUCUAAAUAUAGCUCUCAUUCUUUGCCUAUUUUGUCUAGUUGAGUUAUAAGUAUUGAUUCAAUACCAAUAAGUGGCCACAUUCUAGAACUACUUUAUUAUCUAUUUUUCUUCCCUAAAGUUUUAUUUAUUUAUUUUUCUUCAUAAAGAGCUACUUGCUUAGAGACAGAGGUAAGAAGAGAAAUUGAUAAUAAUAAUGCCAUAAAGCAGGCUUAUGUUUAUUUACCUAGUUAUUACAAUCUUUCCAAAGAUUAUUGCAAGGAGGUAUAUGUAUUUGUUGCUGUGCAUAUUGCUUAAUAUUCUUUUAUAUUGCUUAAUAAUAUCCUUUUGUUGUGCUUAAUAUCAUAUCAUAGACAGCUUUAGAAAUUCUAAAGAUUAGUUACAAUCUAUACUCUUUCCUUUUU